rnacentral:snoRNA from 1 species
CCUGCCACUGUACCUGUCUAGUAUGAAGUGGCUGGUACAAUCCAGUGAUGAGCUGAUAAAAUACACCAGCUUAGGAAACAGGGUGAUUCUCUCUGUGGGUAACUCUGUGCCAAAGUCUGGGAACACGA